AGUGAACGCUGGCGGUAGGCCUAGCACAUGCCAGUCGAACGGCAGCACAGUAAGAGCUUGCUCUUACGGGUGGCGAGUGGCGGACGGGUGAGGAAUACAUCGGAAUCUACUUUUUCGUGGGGGAUAACGUAGGGAAACUUACGCUAAUACCGCAUACGACCUACGGGUGAAAGCAGGGGAUCUUCGGACCUUGCGCGAUUGAAUGAGCCGAUGUCGGAUUAGCUAGUUGGCGGGGUAAAGGCCCACCAAGGCGACGAUCCGUAGCUGGUCUGAGAGGAUGAUCAGCCACACUGGAACUGAGACACGGUCCAGACUCCUACGGGAGGCAGCAGUGGGGAAUAUUGGACAAUGGGCGCAAGCCUGAUCCAGCCAUACCGCGUGGGUGAAGAAGGCCUUCGGGUUGUAAAGCCCUUUUGUUGGGAAAGAAAAGCAGCAGGUUAAUACCCCGCUGUCCUGACGGUACCCAAAGAAUAAGCACCGGCUAACUUCGUG
rnacentral:rRNA from 1 species